rnacentral:rRNA from 1 species
GAUUAACGCUGGCGGCAUGCCUAAUACAUGCAAGUCGAACGGAAGCAGCAAUGCUUUAGUGGCGAACGGGUGAGUAACACGUAGGGAACCUACCUAUACGACGAGGAUAACUACUGGAAACGGUAGCUAAAACUGGAUAGGAUCAAUUGAGGCAUCUUGAUUGAUUUAAAGAUCCUUCGGGAUUACGUAGAGAUGGCCCUGCGGCGCAUUAGCUAGUUGGUGAGGUAACGGCCCACCAAGGCGACGAUGCGUAGCUGAGCUGAGAGGCUAAACAGCCACACUGGGACUGAGACACGGCCCAGACUCCUACGGGAGGCAGCAGUAGGGAAUUUUCGGCAAUGGGGGAAACCCUGACCGAGCAAUGCCGCGUGAACGAUGAAGGUCUUCGGAUUGUAAAGUUCUGUGAUUGGGGAAGAAUGGUAUCUUAGGGAAUGAGGAGUACAUGACGGUACCCGAUUAGAAAGCCCCGGCUAACUAUGUGCCAGCAGCCGCGGU